GGCUGGUCUCCAAUUCCUGACCUCAGAUCAUCCACCUGCCUUGGCCUCCCAAAGUGCUGGGACUAUGGGCGUGAACCACCACACCCUGCCACCAGUAACUCUUUAGAUUUGCCCCUUUGAGGCUAUUUUUUAGAUUAUGUAGGCAUGCUUUGUUUUUAAAAAUUCCUUUUUUUUUUGUCUCCUGUGACCUCUGUAUUUUCAAAUAGCCUGUGUUUGAGCUCAUUUUUUUCUUCUGUGAUCAAUUCUGCUGCAGAAGACUGAUACAUUCUUGAGUAUGCCAGUUGCAUUUUUCAGCUCCAGAAUUUUUGCUUUUUACAUGUUUUCAUCUUUGUUAAAGUUAUCUGAUAGAAUUCUGUUUACUUUCUCUGUGUUAUCUUGAAUUACUUUGAGUUUUCUCAGCAUAGCUAUUUUGCAUUCCCUGUCUGAAAGAUCACAUUUCUGUUUCUCCAGGAUUGGUCCCUGAUGCUUUAUUUAGUUCAUUUGGUGAGGUCAUGUGUUCCUGGGUGGUGUUGAUGCUAGUAGAUGUUCUUGAGUGUCUGGGCAUUUAAGAGUUAAGUAUUUAUUGUACUCUUCACUGCCUGGCCUUAUUUAUAGCUGUCCUUCUUGGGAAUGCUUUCUAGAUAUUUGAAAGAACUUAGGUAUUGUGUGAUCUAAGCUGUAUCUGCUUUAGGGGGAACCCCAAGCCCAGUAACUCUGUGGCUUUUGCAGACUCCUGGAGGUACCACCUUGAUGGUCUUCAACAAGAUCUGGGGAAUUCUGUGGAUUAUCAGGCAGAGACUCUUGUUGUCUUUCCUUACUUUCUUCCAAACAUACAGUCUCUCUGUUGUGAGCCACCUAAACCUGGGGUUGGAGUGAGUGAUGCAAGCACCCUUGUGACCACCACCACUAUGACUGACUAUAAUUUCAGGGUCAGUCCUGAAAUUAAGACCAUGCAGGGUCUCAUCCAAGGCCUGCUGUGACUGCUCUCUGGCUACCUCCCAUGUUUGCUCAAGGCCCUGGUGCUGUGCAAUCAGCAGUUGACAAAUCCAGUGAGACCUGCGUCCUUUCCUUCAGUGCAGCAAGGUCUCUAGACCCCAGGUAGGUCCAGAGGUGUUGUCUAGGAGUCAGGGGACUAGAGUAACACUCUUGUAUUGUGUCUUUUCUGGCAUUCAAACCACAAGAUGAGGUGUUUCUCAUUCUUCCCUCCCAUUUCCAAAAGCAGAGGAACCUCACCUUGUAACCACUGCCACCCCAAGGCCACAAGGGGUACUACCAGACUACCACCUGGGACUCACACUUCAGGGCAGUGGGCCCCCCUGUGGCCCAGGGCAGGUCCAGAAAUGUCAUUUAAGAGUAAGGUCUUAGAAUUGGGGACACUCAAAAAUCCACUGGCUUCCCCCCAUCACCCAUGGUCGUUCUGGUGGUACCUAAGCUGCAAGACAAAGUCCUGUUUACUCUUUCCCUCUGCUUUUCUCAGGUAGGAGUUUUGCCCCAUAGCCACCAUGCUUGGUGCUGAAUUUCACUGAAGCCAGCAAGUCUCGGAGGAUCACCUGAGGCCCUAGUGUAGUAUUUGGAUAUCGCUGCUGGUUAUUUAGGGCCUAAGGGCUCUUCACUUUGUAGGUGAUGAAUGCUGUCAUGUCCUUGCCUUCAAGGCAGCAGGCUUUCUUCUGGCCCAGGUAUAUAGAAAUGUCUGAGCUAGGGCCCUGAACAGGGACCUCACAACUCUGAGUGGUGCACUAUCUUGCUGUGGCUGAGCUGGUAUCCAAAAUGAAAGACAAGUCCUCCCUGCUCUUCCUUCAUCUUUUCUCAAACAGAAAGAAGGGGUCUUUUAUUGAGCCCUGAGUUGUGCAGCCUGUCUAGGGGAAGGGGUGAUGCCAGCACUCUUUUGGCUGCCCCACCUGAUGUCUCAGUAUGUUGCAUUCUCUGCUUCUGUCCCUCUCCCCACCACCUCUACUGUCUUGGGGCCCCGUUCAUUACUAGGACUCAGGUAAGAAUUGUAGCCCUUAUGGCUUAGACUGCCUUUCCAAGCUUACUUGGAGACAUGGAGUACUUUAGUGCCCUGCAGCGAGGCUUGUGGGAACUCAAGUUGGGACCAUUGGGAUCAGCAAUUUCCCUCCAGUUAGGGCUAGUUUAAGUGCUCCCUUUCUGGGUGGCUGUCAGCUUAGUUUGGUCUGGUUUUCCUUUCUGCUCUAACAGGACAGCACUGAGGUCAUUGCCUUACAAUUGCUGUGUUCUCCCUCCCCCAGCACCCAGUGGCUGUAGGCACCAGGCCUUUGCUGCUGGAUGGGAGAACAGGAAGUGUGUAUAGAUGUUGAUUGAGGACUGUUGUUUCUCUGUCUUCAGUGUCUCUUUCAGUGAUAUGCAGUUAAAACCCGGUACUAUUAGUGCUCACCUAAUUUUUUUUUCUUCUUAUGAAGGUGUUUUUUUCUAUGUAGAUCUUAAUUUGGUGUCAUUGGUGGGGGCAUGGGCAUGAUCAGUGGAGCUUUCUAUUCUUGUUCUGCCUCCCACCUAUUUUCAGUCCAAUAAAAAAAUCAGUGGUGGCCGCGUGCCUGUAAUGCCAGCACUUUGGGAGGCCGAGGUGGGCAGAUCAUGAGAUCAGGAGUUCAAGACCAGCCUGUAACCUCAGUGCUUGAUCUGAUUGGCUAAAAACUUGGAAAUUUCUUGAAUAGAUAAGGAGGAAACAAGACAAGGAAGAAGAGGAAGCUAGUCAGGAGGUGGUUAGGUGGGUUUCCAAAUAAGAAAUGGCAUGCACCAGGGUUUGGAGCUUGCUCGGUUCUGUUCAGACAUGCCGGAGCAAGUCAAGGUAGCUGAUUUAAGAUGUAGCUGAUUUAGAGACUAUAUAUAUAUGGGUAUAUGUUUAUGCUAAUAGUGGAUAAUGACUAUAGAGGAAGAGAUUUGUAAAUCUUUAUAAUGUAGUCUAAGAUAUAAACAUUGAAGAACUUUCCCAUCUCUCACAUUAAUUGUGCUAAAAAA